AAAUAUAUUGUAUUAUAUCGUCCCGUAUUAAUAUAUUUUU
rnacentral:sRNA from 1 species